CCUACGGGAGGCAGCAGUGAGGAAUAUUGGUCAAUGGACGAGAGUCUGAACCAGCCAAGUAGCGUGAAGGAUGACUGCCCUAUGGGUUGUAAACUUCUUUUAUAUGGGAAUAAAAUGUUCCACGUGUGGGAUUUUGUAUGUACCAUAUGAAUAAGGAUCGGCUAACUCCGUGCCAGCAGCCGCGGUAAGACGGAGGAUCCGAGCGUUAUCCGGAUUUAUUGGGUUUAAAGGGAGCGUAGGUGGAUUGUUAAGUCAGUUGUGAAAGUUUGCGGCUCAACCGUAACAUUGCAGUUGAAACUGGCAGUCUUGAGUACAGUAGUGGUGGGCGGAAUUCGUGGUGUAGCGGUGAAAUGCUUAGAUAUCACGAAGAACUCCGAUUGCGAAGGCAGUUCACUGGACUGCAACUGACACUGAGGCUCGAACGUGUGGGUAUCAAACAGGAUUAGAUACCCUUGUAGUC
rnacentral:rRNA from 1 species